GACAUCUGGGUGGAAGUCACCAGUGCCUGCACAUGGAACUAUGAAGAUCACCAUUUUUCAGAUUAAGAAACUGAGGCUCACAUUGUGAAAUAACACUCUCUGGAAAGCUGACUCAGAAAUUGGAAUGAGUUGUCUGUGGAUCCUGUAAGGAGCCUGGACAUGGUGAAGAGAAUGCCUUGACCAUCAGGAGACAGCUUAGCUUGUUGAAUCUUGAUCACUUCUUCUGACCGCUUUGGAUCUUAAAAGAACAAGGUCGAGGAGUUUCGCAGACAUAACUCCUUGGGAGCAGUGCCCAGGUCAAGAAAGAAAAUGUGGCCAAUGCCCCAGGAUCUUAUUUGGUCAUCCAGGCUGGACUGCAGUGGUGUGAUCAUAGCUCACUGCAGCCUCAAACUGCUGGACUCCAGUGAUCUUCCAGCCUCAGCCUCCCCCGGUAGCAAGGACUACAGGGUCCCAGAAGGAACCAACGCUGCCCACACCUUAAUUUGAGACUUCUGGCCUCUGAGAAAUGAGAAAGAGUCUCACUCUCUGUCGCCCAGCCUGGAGUGCAGUGGCAUCAUCUGAGCUC